rnacentral:rRNA from 1 species
CGUGUAGGCGGGAAUGCAAGUCAGAUGUGAAAUACCGAGGCUUAACCUCGGGGCUGCAUCUGAAACUGCGUUUCUUGAGUGUCGGAGAGGAAAGUGGAAUUCCCAGUGUAGCGGUGAAAUGCGUAGAUAUUGGGAGGAACACCAGUGGCGAAGGCGACUUUCUGGACGAUAACUGACGCUGAGGCGCGAAAGCGUGGGGAGCAAACAGGAUUAGAUACCCUGGUAGUCCACGCUGUAAACGAUGGAUACUAGGUGUAGGAGGUAUCGACCCCUUCUGUGCCGGAGUUAACACAAUAAGUAUCCCACCUGGGGAGUACGGCCGCAAGGUUGAA